AGUCUUCUCCUAGCGGCCUUCAGAUGAAGAUGUAGAACUCUGACCUUCUCCAGCACCAUGUCUGCCUGGACACUGCCGUACUCCCACCUUGAUGAUAAUGGACUGAACCUCUGAACCUUUUCAGAUUCUGGCUGCCAGACAACACCUUGGGAGGAUCCCAACUGCGCACAGAUGCCGGAAUUACUACAACUAUGCGUGGAAGCCGUUCAGCUUGCCAAACAGGACAGCAAGCAAUUAUUUGAAGCAGCUGGAUUCAAGAAGCCUGGAUCACAUGUUAUUGCACGCGGAGGACUCACGGGUUAUGGAGAGCUGAACAAUGUAAUUACGUUCAUGGAGUGCCACUUACUAAUUUUGAAGCUCUGUGUUUGAAAGACGGACUUCUUGUCUACUGUCAGCGACAGAUGUCACUGAAUAGGCUGCUAGUCACCUGUACCUGGGGAACUUUCAAAAGUGAAGAUUUCAUAUUUUAUUUCCUUGGCAAGUUAAAAUGAAUGGUAAAAAAAAAAAUGCUUUUUUUUUGACUUGUUAUGUCGCAGACGUUAACAGUUUCUAAGAAAGCACUAACUGACCUAGCAACAACGGUCUUUCCAUUCAUAGCAAAUGUAAAUUUCACAAUCAAAGAAUUUGAUGCAAGAAUGUAAUGUGAUUUAAAUAUACCUCAGAAAUAUGGGGCUUC